rnacentral:rRNA from 1 species
CGGGGGGGGCAAGCGUUGGUCGGAAUUACUGGGCGUAAAGGGCUCGUAGGCGGCCAACUAAGUCAGACGUGAAAUCCCCAGGCUCAACCUGGGAACUGCGUCUGAUACUGGAUGGCUUGAAUCCGGGAGAGGGAUGCAGAAUUCCAGGUGUAGCGGUGAAAUGCGUAGAUAUCUGGAGGAAUACCGGUGGCGAAGGCGGCAUCCUGGACCGGCAUUGACGCUGAGGAGCGAAAGCCAGGGGAGCAAACGGGAUUAGAUACCCCGGUAGUCCUGGCCCUAAACGAUGAAUGCUUGGUGUAACGGGUAUCGAUCCCUGUUGUGCCGAAGCUAACGCAUUAAGCAUUCCGCCUGGGGAGUACGGUCGCAAGGCUG